ensembl:lncRNA
AAUUGCCAUAACAACAGCGACGAUCGUUUAAUUUGAUUUUCUGCCUGACUCCGACCGCGGGGUCCUGGGCACUAAUUCCUGCUCGCAGCUGGGGCUUCCAGACGCCGUGUCUGGCCAUGUCCCCUGUGAGCAGGUCCAAGGGUUAAUUCCUAUCCACAGCAGAGAAAAAAAAAGGGAAAAGUUGCAGUGGAUGUCUGCAGCUCCAGCUUCCAGCCCUGAGGCUGCCCUCGCUGAGGAGCUGCAGCUUCUCCUGCCCAGGGAUGUCUCCAGCCCAGCUUGGCUGUGGAGCAGAGCCACUGUCUGUCCCUGUCCCUGCCACCCCCUGGACUGGGGCCAGCCUGCUUCACAGCAGGGACUGCUGCUCUGCUGAGCACCCUGAGCCUGUGCAUCCUCACCCAACCCCACGCUGCCCUCCUCUCCUUCAGCCCACAAGUUCUCCCAAAGCCCUGGUCCCUCCAGCAGCACAGGGCUCCCUGCCAGCCCAGCCCCACCAUGCUCAGGGCACUGAGCCAUCCCUAAGGGUCAGUAGAAAUCUGUCCCUGCUGAGCUCCUCUCUCCUUGCCCUCCCCAGUGUGACCAGUACAAGAAAGGGAUCAUUUCUGGCUCCACGUGCAAGGACCUGUGUGAGGAGCGCAGCCUCCUGUUCCAGCACUGCCUCUCCUCGUCCCCCAGCCAGCAGGUUUACAGAGGGCUCUGGAGGGACAGGGAGGUGAUCAUCAAAUGUGGCAUUGGGGAAGCCCUGAGGGCCGACAGCCGCCCGGACUCUGUGCCCAGGAGGGACGUGGUGCUCUUCGACAAACCCACGCGGGGGACCUCGAUGGACGAGUUCAAGGAAAUGCUCCUCAACUUCCUGAAGGUCAGUGCAGGGCCCUGUGUGAUCCUACAGGCCUGGGAUGGCUCCUGUGAGUCAGAAACACCGAUGGUGUUUUUCCUUCCCUUUGAACGAGAGCUCCUCCUGCCCGUGGCCCCCACCCACUGCUGGGUGCCGGUGCCGUGCACUGGAUUAGUGGAGGAAAACCUCCAUUCCCUGCCAUGAAUCCUCAUCUGUGAGAUUCCAGUAGCAACAUCCCUGGAGGUGGCUGUGCCGUGGCUGUGGGUGGCAUCUGUGCUGGGCAGAGCUGAUUUGGUGGCCCUGACCCCUGCUGGGGCUCCUGCAGCAGUGGUGGGGUGGCAACUCUGGCAGGAGAGUCUAGAGCACCUUUUUACUCUUUACUCUUUUAUCUGAGGCUGGAAAAAUUCUGCUGGAGCUGGAUCUACCCACACCUGGUAUGGUGCUGGAUUUCCUGGAGUGUCAUCGUUUCCUCCUCUCCCCAGCUCAGUUCUUUGCUCCCCCAGUUCGGUUUUGUGGUGUGACACCCAAACACGGAGAGCUGUGAGGUUCUGAUGCCAAUUCUUGUUGGUUUUGCAGUCCAAGCUGGGGGAUCAGCCAUCUCUUCCCGCCUUGGUGAGCCGGAUCAUCACCAUGGCAGACGUGAACCGUGACAGGAAGGUGUCCCUGGCAGAGGCCAAAUCCAUCUGGGCGCUGCUUCAGCUCAACGAGUUCCUCCUCAUGUUCUCCUUGCACGAGAAGGAGCACACGGCCAAGCUGCUGGGGCACUGCGGGGACCUUUAUGUCACCGAGAAGAUCCCCCACACCUCCCUCUAUGGGGUGGACAUCCCCCCUUUCCUGCAGUCCCUGCUGCCUCCCAUCGCCCAUCAGCUCAUCCACCAGUG